rnacentral:rRNA from 2 species
CUAAACGACUCUCGGCAACGGAUAUCUCGGCUCUCGCAUCGAUGAAGAACGUAGCGAAAUGCGAUACUUGGUGUGAAUUGCAGAAUCCCGUGAACCAUCGAGUCUUUGAACGCAAGUUGCGCCCGAAGCCUUCUGGCUGAGGGCACGCCUGCCUGGGCGUCACGC